GCCAAGCAGAUCCCGAGAUUCCAGAGCUCCGUGGAUCGGCGUCACGAGCUGUACCGCCGGCAUCAGGCAGCGCUGGAGCUCAUGGAGCGGGACCGGGAGCGGGGCCAGCAGCUCCUGGACACGCUGCAGGAGCUGGAGAAGCAGGGCCUGCAGGCGAUGCGGGAGCUGCUGGAGGGCACUGCCAGCCCCUGCCCCGAGGAACUGGCCGACCUCUUCUUCGACUGCGUGGAGGCCGAGAUGAAGUUUUACACCUAAACCCCACACAGGUGGGUGGGCUGGGCUUCCCCCACGGCGUUUCUCUUGGAUAGGGAAUCACAAAACAUUCCCAGAGCCCGACCCUGACUCUUCUGACUCCCCCCGUGGGUCCCAGCCCUCAGUUUAGCCUGGAGAAAGCACUGAGAGGUGCCCUUGGCCUGGAAUGAGGUGCCAGGGGAAGGACAAGGAUGUGGGAUGGGAUUGGGAGUCCUGCCCACAGCCCUGUGUGUGCUCUCCCCCAUUUCCAGCCCCUCGGGAUGGCUGUAGGGUGGCAUCCAGCUGGACCGGGGUGGGAAUAAAGCCUUUAUUGCCUGC